rnacentral:lncRNA from 1 species
UUCCUGUCAUGGCUCAGUGGUAACGAACCCAACUAGUAUCCCUGAAGAUGCAGGUUCAAUUCCUGAGUUAAGGAUCCAGUGUCGCCAUGAGCUGUGGUGUAGGCUGGGAAUUUCCAUAUGCUGUGGGCGCAGCCCUAAAAAGACAAAAAAAGAAAAAAGAAAAAAAAUCAUCUUUAAAUGUCCUAUAUCAUGCAAACUCUCAUUGGCAUUUUUGAUCUGUAUUUAAUAAAUAUUACUUUUCAUUCUCCUUGUCUUGAUACAUUUAUAGCUAUCACAGCUAUAUGUGCUGUAAUUAGAAGAGUAAGUUUACAGUAGAUGAAACUGUCUUUAAGUCUGCUUUGUCAAUAUUCAGGAACAUUUCAGGCACAAAGAGGAAAGUAUAUUCUAAAUUGAUUUAUUAUUUUAAAAUUUUGAAAUAUUUUAACUAAGAACAGACAGCUGGUUAAUGAAAGUUUAUAAGUAGUCUGGAUUGCAGAGGUAAUGGAUAUACAAAGGAAUUAGUUGUUGCAAAAUGUAAAUUGGAGGGAAAUAUAAUUUUUCUUGUGGAAGAUGAUUUCUUCUUAAAUAUCAGCGGUAUUUGAGCUCAAACAAGAUAUAUAAGAUACAUAAAGUCCACAACUAAAGAAAUUUUUAAAAAUGAUUCAGAGCAAAAGCUGCUACAAGAAAGUGUAAAAAGCAGAUUAUCUGACUUAAAUUUAUAUUCCAAGUCAAUACUGUGGUUUUGACAGUCUUGAAUUUUAUUAUAAAUCUGUUUUAGGGGCUAUUUUUAAUGAUUACAUGCAUAAUGAACCUACUAAUGCCAGAGUAUGUUUGAAAUAAAAUUUUAGAAUGCUUAAUACUGUUUCAAAAUGUAAUAUAAAGAUUUUAUUCAUACAUAUAUAUUUAGUGUUUAAUAAAAUAAGGGAAAGCCUAUGUAAAAGAUUUGACAUUUGCAAAGACACCAAGUAUGGUUAUGAAGACAAAACCUGUGAGACUAUUUUGAAACCAAAACAAAUAUCUCAGCCCUUGAAACAAAGACUACUAUUGAAGAGAUUCUAGGUAAAUCAUUUCAAAUGAAGCUCAAGAGGAAAAAAAGAUUUAUCUAGUUUGGCACUCCCCAAAGAUUUUUUAAAAAUAUUCUGGAUACCACAAAAAUCAUAAUUUGCAAGCUAUUGUUUGGGUUUUCCAAAUGCAGCAAGAAUAUUAAAAUAUUGUUGGGAUGGAUGCAGAUAAUGAGAAAAGGGAGAAAGGGAUAAAAGAACACACAGAAAUAAAUGGUCUUCACUCAGCCAGCUCGCUAAGCCUUCUGUGCAUUUGUGAGUCUAGACCAGAUCCAGAAGAGCUGCUGCCUGUCACAAUAUCACCAAAACUCAUGAGGACUCCGUUAACUGAAGAAGUAAAGCAGAUGCAUCAUAACUGAGACACAUCCUGAAGAGCUCAUGCUUCCUGAGAUUAGGAAUGUUCCCAGAACAGCUUUUACUGGCUUCAUUUUGCUUUUCUUUCCAGUCUUAUUAAGAGUAUUGGUAUUUAGGUGAGAAGAUUCCUGGACUAGGUAAUUAUGAUUUCAAAAAAGUUGAUAUUUAUGUUGUUGGCAUUUUUGUCUACACUGAUUUGCACAUUCCACUCCCAGCUUAAAAAGGACAAAGAGAAAGACAAAGACAGAGAGAGAAACAGACUUAAAAUUCAAUCAUUAAGUGAUUGAAAACAAAAUAAAGUCCAUUCUCUUAAAUACCUACUAUGUGCAUAAACCACCUUUCUUUUUGGCCACGCCUGUGGCAUAUAGAAGUUCCCAGGCAAAGGACUGAAUCCACACCACAGCAAUGACCAGGGCUGUUGCAAUGACAACAAUGGAUCCUUAACCCACUGCACCACACAGAUGUCCUUCAGUGAAGGACCUAUUGCUCCAGCUGCUGGGGGUUCUGCCAGCAGAUGCUUAUUGCUGUCAGUUUCUUUAGGAACUAUUAUAGCUACAGAAAGUGUCCCCACCCAAGGUCACCUUUUCCUGGGACAACCGACAUCUAAUAAUUUACAGAUGUGGGGGUAUUAAGGACUAGCCAUCCUGGCUUAAUGGGGAACAACUCUGAAGGACCAUUCCAGCUCCAGAGUGCCAGCAAGGUCAGCCAUGACUAUCCUUGGGCUGUAUCACUGACUGACUUUUCCCUUCCACAGGUGUUGAUCCCAAGGUGCUCUUCAGUAAAUAGGCCAUACAACCAACUCAGUCUGAGUCUCCUUCCAGAAAGACCAAAUAUGUGACCAUAUAAAUUAACAUUUAAGCAUUCCUUAUCUUACUAAAUCAGACAAUGUAAAAAAUAUACCUCAUAAGUAAAGAACAGCCCAUCUUUCUCUAUGAAAACUGUCCAAUAUUCUUAAACUUAUUGGUCACUCCAAGCUCUCAGUGGCUCUGCUUUGUGUUUCUGUUUGGCUAAUGUAACACAGAAAGUCAUUACUGUGAUUGAUGUAUUAAAAGGGGAGAGAAAAUGAAAAUGCCUUUAUCACUACCAUUAUAACAAAAGUUGUAAGUAUUUUAAUAAAAUACAGAAAGGGAUGAAUCUCUCUGAUCUAUAUGGAAAACUAUUCUGGGGAGUUUCCAUAUGCAUGGCCUCAAUCAAGUUGGACUGAUGUGACCAAAAAAUAAAGUAACUAAUGAACCUAAAUCCAGCCUCUGAAUUUGAGCUAAUUAGGUGACAAAAAGUGAUUUGCAUGCACAAGAAAGAGGGAGAGAAAGACAGAGAGAAAGAGGAAGGGAAGGCAGGAAGGUGGGAAGGAAGAGGAAAGGAGGAGGGAGGGAAAAAAAUUAAAGGAAGAAAAAGAAAAGAACCAAAAAUUCGAUAAACUCAAAUUUUUUUUAAAAAAGUCAUAAGCUCAAACAUAUUAUAGAAUCAGAGAGUUGCUAUAAAUGUAUAACAUGCAGCUGAAUGUGAGAUGCAAUAGGGAAUGGCAAGGACUAUGGUAAAACAGAGACUAAAGGCCCCAUUCACAGGGAACAGCCACUUCUUGGCUCUGGUCUACUGUUUCCUUGGAGGAAAAUAAAGUUGGCAUUGAUAGGCCUUCUGAUUUUUUUUCAAGAAGCCAUAAAUCCAAAAUUUUUAUAAAGAUUUUUCAUUUACAAAAUGUUCUGUAAGUCCAGACCAAAUAUGUUUACAGGACAGAUAUUACUGCCUGGAAGCUGCCAGAUUGCAGCUCCUUUGAGAAGACUAAUUAUAAUAUAGCAGUGACUUUGUUGUCACUUAUUUCUUAAGGUAUAUCCAAAUAAAUUUUGGUGAAUAUUAUAUUUUAAAUGACAAUAAUCUCACUAUUUAAUGGAAACAUUAUGAAAAUAAAUAUUUAAUCUUAAAGAUUUAUCUCCUUUAUAAGCUUUUGUUAAAAGGAAAAAGUCAUGUUACAGUGAGCAGUGAGUGGCCAGAUUAAUAUGAAAAGAAGAAAUUACAUUAUGUGUGAUGGAAGUAUAACAGAAAAUCUGUACAGUUUAUGUGUGAGUGUACCUAAUUCCCCUUGUACAAUACAAUUUACCUAACUAAUGAGACUUGCUGUUAACCAUUCUGUUUUCCUCUGAUUCAAAAACGACAUUAAGGAGUUCACAUCAUGCCUCAGCAGAAAUGAAACUGACCAGUAUGAGAAUGCAGGUUUGAUCCCUGGCCUUGCUCAGUGGGUCAAGGCUCCAGUGUUGCCACAAGCUGUAGUGUAGGUUAAAGACAUGGCUUGGAUCUGGCAUUGCUGUGGCUGUGGCGUAGGCCAGAGGCUACAUACAGCUCCCAUUUAACCCCUAGCCUGGGAACCUCCAUAUGCCAAGGGUGUGGCCCUAAAAAGACAAACAAAACAAAACAAAACAAAACAAAAAGAGCAUUUAAGUGAUCAACAGAAGGUAUUCAUGGGCCCUAUAUCCUGCAAAGGAAGUGUUGUUACUUAUGUUCCUCUUUCAUUUAGUUAUAAUCUGUGUUAUAGGAAAAGCACUACCACAGCCAAAGCACCAAUCAUCAUAAAUUUAUGGAGCAUGACACAUAGACUACAAUGGUCCCUCUUUGUUAAGAAUGCUGAACUUUGUCUACAGCUUUUUACACUUCACUGGAAACUAUAUCAAGUGUAUGGUUAAAGGAGAUAGAAGGCACAAUGAAACACUGCCAGAGCCAGAUUGCCAAGGCUGAUUGGUGCUUAGCAAGAGCAAAAAUGCCCUGAAGUACUAAGACAUGCACACCAGCUUUGAGACGAUCUUAUUAAAAGUCACUUUAAUUUGCCUGUUUUUCCGUAACUAAGUGGGGGUAUUACUUGCUUUGUGUUAGCCCCUUAAAUUCACCUUCCUUAUUUAAAAUGAUUUGGGGCAUUCAUUUGCUACUGACACUUAAGGAUUCAUUGGACAUAAUGUAGGUUACGUGUUUCCAGAAAAUGAGCCUGGGUGUGUCUAACACCUAAAGAUUUCAGGAAGAAAGUCAUGAGCCUCCAAGUUCAGGGAUCUUAUCACUUAUUUAAUAGAUUCCAGGACAGUAAUGAUUUUCCAAAGAUUUGCUUGAACAUUUUGAACCUU